rnacentral:rRNA from 1 species
UGGGGAAUAUUGCACAAUGGAGGGAACUCUGAUGCAGCGACGCCGCGUGAGUGAUGAAGGACUUCGUUUCGUAAAACUCUGUUCUAUGGGAAGAAAAGGACUGUACCAUAGGAGAAAGCUCCGGCAAAAUACGUGCCAGCAGCCGCGGUAAUACGUAUGGAGCGAGCGUUGUCCGGAAUUAUUGGGCGUAAAGGGUGCGCAGGCGGCUUUACAAGUUGAAUGUGAAAUAUUGUGGCUCAACCACAAACGUGCAUCCAAAACUGCAAAGAUUGAGUUAAGGAGAGGUAAGUGGAAUUCCUGGUGUAGCGGUGGAAUGCGUAGAUAUCAGGAUGAAUACCGGUGGCGAAGGCGACUUACUGGUCUUAAACUAACGCUCAGGCACGAAAGCGUGGGGAGCAAACAGG